rnacentral:rRNA from 1 species
UAAGAUUUGUUUUAGUGUGUAGCAGAAGUGCCCGCUAACCUAGACUCGAACUCCGCCUCUACCGCCUCCUGCCUCCGUCUCCGGCGGCAGAGACGGCCAGCUGCUGCCUCUUUGCCGGCGUUGGCUCCUCCUGCCGGUACCUCCCCUCCCACGACGGAGCUAGGCCUACUCCCCUCGUCUACGACGCUGGAGCUACGCCUACUCCUCUCGUCGUUGGCGCGGGGACAAGAAGCGCCGCGCCGCCGGAGCCGAUCCUCGAAACGGGAGAAUAAGGGCGCGCCACGUCGCCGCUGGAGUCCUGCUCAAGCUCCGUGUCACCAGCAAGGUCGUGUGCUACGGCCCCCUCCGCCGCCACGAAGUAACGGAGUAGACAAGAGGAAUAGAGUCCAGGCAGGCUGCCGUCUACGUGUGGGCUGCAGCAGUACCUCCGAGGCUGGGGCUCCGUGGGAGGGACGAAGGAAGACCAACGUAGAGGGGGACUAAGAUAAAAUAGGUACGGAUGUGCUACGUGUUGUCUUGAGGAUCGUCCGAACGUUAGAGUGCGCAUUCCCUUCUACACAAGGAGAGACCGAUCGUGGACGAGCUAGUUUACGGAUCGGUAAAGUUAGCAAAUAACAUCCUUUAUAUUCCACGUGGGUUUAUCCUCCGGUAAGACACAUCGGAUAAGAAAAGUCAAGAUCCUUAGGAUACCAUCUCCCACCACAAUCAAGAUAUUUAUUGAAAGUCUGUAAACAUCAAAAAAUCCAACAUCGCACUGUUGAAACUAGUUUUAAACAAAGUCAACUGAGAUGUAAGGUAAGCAACUAAAACACAAGAAUUGACUUUCGUCUCAAACAGCUACAUUCACUGAACCUAAUCAUAAGAAGAGAAACGAUACGAUUAUAAGUGGAACGAAGUCAACUGGGGUGAAAGGCAAGUAACUAAAACACAAGAAUUGCCUUUCGUCUCAAACAACCACAUUCACUGAACCUAGUCAUAAGAAGAAAAACGUAUACGAUUAUAAGUGGAAAUUGUUGACGAUUUCAUAGUACCGUAAUAUAGUUUGAGACGAGACGGGUUUAAAAGGUCCGGACUUCUCUCCUUCAUCCGGCCGCCGUUCCUAGGGCACUGCUCGCGGAGGCAUCGCGUCUAUGAAACCUAGAUACACGAAACCGGUUUAACCAGCUCGGACUCUGACUAAUCUUCCAUUAUAACAAGUACGAGAAGCCACUACUCUAACUAAGUGAAAGAAGGUAUAAUCUUUUAAGUUUGAUUUACGAGAAUAUACAUAAAGUCUGGAAAAGACUAUAGGAACUUAAUCGGCACCUUCCGUCUCCUUCAUCUCUAUUUUUACAUAGUGUGAAAAGAGAAGAAAAUUCGUAAAGUAGACAAACUAAGUAAAAUUGUCAUGUUCCUAAAGGAAAUAAGUAUGCACUAAACCUUCACUGAGAGUGAGUACACUCCAGAUCGUAAUCCCUAUAAAGGUAUACAAAUGAAACUCGAGUAAAAUAGUAGAAAAAACAAUCGCGGAAGGACAAGAAGUAAGUACAAUCUGUCGCCAGGUACAUGUCUGGUUCUUGUUUUUUGACGAAUACUUACCAAACUCACCUCCAUAUUUGUUUAACACCAGAAAACCGAUUAACCAACCUACUGAUGAAAGUGAAACAUGGAACGUGUUUUAUUAGCUAAGGGACCAAAGGGAAAUACAAAGAAAGAGCGUUUACGGUAACCUUCGAGAGACACUAAAGAUUACGACCGAUAAAACAACCAAGUAACACCGUGUUAAGCUUCGUCGGCGUAUAUUUACACAUUCACCGUAGUACUAAACCCUGUGAUGUCGCUGUAAAACGAGUAUAGUAUCACGUAUGUUGGAAAAAGUGUACACAAUAGAAUAACAUGGUACCUAUAGUCUAUACGUGACGUAUACAUAUAAGUAAACAACAUACGAAAUGUCCUGUCUACCCGGACCUUCUAUGUGGUCUUUGUCUUCUUUUUCAAGAGUUUUAACGCUUUCUCGCUAUAUCUCCGGCCACCAGUUGAGAUUCGAGGUGAAUGUUCCGUAUGUUUUGUCUACGUCGAUCUAACCGAUUAGACGGCCUUCUAAAUGUUGGCCUUCUCACUUACCUACUAACUCAUGAAACCGUGACUAAGUUUUAAAGUCCAAUAGAGAUUCUAGUGAGAAACAGAUGAUACACAAUUUUACUUUAACGAAAAGACUGACAAAUAUAAACCAAAACUACUUAACUAUCCUUGUGUUGGCUUUCUUGUGGCUAUUGGCAUUCUUUGUCUUCUGUUUUGUGUCUUAAUCUAGUUUUAGAAUGAGCGUUGAUUCAAAACUAUUCCAUACUCAGAUUCAUUUAUACAUACGGAACGACGAUUGAGAGUAUGUGUGCUUCUUACCUUGUACCAGAUUGUGUCUUAGGGUCCUACAAAUUCACUCAUGUGACUGAAAACCAAUAAGAUAUCAAUAAGUUACUACACGUAAGCCGUACGAAAACGUAGUCGACCCUAAUAAGUACACAACCUAGCACAAUAAGAACAAAGUAGAAAAUAUCACAUUUAUAACUACGCCGUGGAUAUUAACAAGAAAGGCAAAACUCCUGUUUUGUGCAUUAUCCAACUUUUGUUUCUUUGACUUUGAGUACCAGGUGAAAGUUCACUCGUACAGUAACCGGAAGUAUUAAACGAUCGACGAAGAAGAGAAAGUGGUACGCACCCACGACGUAACUCAGUGUUGAAUUUUUUUACUUAUACACGAUCGAUCCCUGUACUUGAAUUGACUUUGAUAUCUAGCUCAGUGUUGAAUUUAGUUAUCGCCUUCGAAAAUCAUGUACAUGAACACGUAUUUGAAAUCUGUAAAUGUGAACAUUUUGACAAGAAUGGGGAGUCAAUGUACGAACGACUGUGUCAUAAUGAGGAGGCCAUCAGACCGUUGUUAAGCAAAAUUGUUACCCAGACCUUAUUAACAUACCGUAUACAAUACAACGUGAGUAAUUGAUCUUGAUAUAUAAAAACUAAAGAACUAACGUCCUAGGUUUCUUGAUCGAGCUGACCUGAGAUUAGCACCUGUUAAAUCAGAACCGUGAAUUAACCCUACCGAUUUAAUGUAAACUCAAAGUAAACUACCUAUAAAUGAUACUCUUAAUACUUAAAAUAAUUAAAUGUAUAAUAUGUAUACCAAAACUUAUAACAUUAACUUACGGACAUAAAAAAAAUCCAACGUCAUCCGAUAACGGUGUUGGGGUGAAAACCAACGGUGUACAAUCGUGGUGCUUUUAAUUUUAACAGCGUUAUCAAAGAGCGAUGUUUGUAAAGUAGGCAACCCUAUGGAUGAAUAGUGGUG